rfam:Gymnopus luxurians FD-317 M1 unplaced genomic scaffold GYMLTscaffold_1, whole genome shotgun sequence.
ACACCGUUGGUGAAGUGGUUAUCAUGCUUGCCUUCCAUUUUAAAUUCUAACAGCAAGCGGCUCGGGUUCGAUUCCCGAACGGUGUA